CGCGCAGCACCGCAGGUCGGAGAAGUCCCCUGAAGAGUGGAGGGCCUGUGCGGGUCCCGCCCUUAACCACCCGCUGCGGGUCCGGCCCGAAGCGGACCUUCGCUCCCGAAUCCGGAAGGCCCCGGGCGCCUCCAUCUUGACGGAGAGAAAGAGCUCCGGGAACGGCGAGAAGGAACGAAAAGAGAGAGUACUUGAGUCCCGCGUCUGUGCAGGUGAAUGACAAGACUCUCGUGUUACAGGAGAGGACACUGAGGCGCAGAGAAGCGAUACCUCCCUGCCCCCACCUGGUCACAGCAAGUCGCAGCUAGAGGAGCCCCUAAAAGUAAGCCCAGUGCUGGACCGAGGCUCAGCAGGUCCCCUCUCUCGGCACCUCCAUUUCUCAUCUGUAAAAUGGGGACAACUGCACCUCUCGAUGAAAGUCCUGUUGCAGAAGGGAGAGCACCCAUGGAUGCUUAGGACACAGCUGGAUACACUAGCUCACCGGAAGAGCGUUUGGAGCAGGAACAGCAAGUGCAAAUGCCCAGGGGCAGGAUGGAAUAGGACAGGACAGAAGCAUGCAGAAGGGAUCAGACAACAAGGACGUCCAUCGAAAUGGGACCAUACAGUACGCACGCCUGCGGAAGGCUGCUUUCACACGACGCGUUUGCG